GCCUUCGUGGUGUAAAGGUAGCACACCAGGCGCGUAUUCGAGAGGUCCAGGUUCGAGUCCCGGCGAGGGCA
rnacentral:tRNA from 1 species